rnacentral:rRNA from 1 species
UACAGAGGUCUCAAGCGUUGUUCGGAUUCAUUGGGCGUAAAGGGUGCGUAGGCGGCGCGGUAAGUCGGGUGUGGAAAUCUCGGGGCUUAGCUCCGAAACUGCAUUCGAUACUGCCGUGCUUGAGGACUGGAGAGGAGACUGGAAUUUACGGUGUAGCGGUGAAAUGCGUAGAUAUCGUAAGGAAGACCAGUGGCGAAGGCGGCUCACUGGCCCGGUACUGACGCUGGAGGCACGAAAGCGUGGGGAGCAAACAGG